AUUGAACGCUGGCGGCAUGCUUUACACAUGCAAGUCGAACGGCAGCACGGACUUCGGUCUGGUGGCGAGUGGCGAACGGGUGAGUAAUACAUCGGAACGUGCCCAGUUGUGGGGGAUAACUACUCGAAAGAGUAGCUAAUACCGCAUGAGAACUGAGGUUGAAAGCAGGGGAUCGUAAGACCUUGCGCAACUGGAGCGGCCGAUGGCAGAUUAGGUAGUUGGUGGGAUAAAAGCUUACCAAGCCGACGAUCUGUAGCUGGUCUGAGAGGACGACCAGUCAGACUAGGACUGAGACACGGCGCAGACUCCUACGGGGGGCAGCAGUGGGGAAUUUUGGACAAUGGGCGAAAGCCUGAUCCAUCAAUGCCGCGUGCAGGAUGAAGGCCUUCGGGUUGUAACUGCUUUUGUACGGAACGAAAAGCUUCGGGUUAAUACCCUGGAGUCAUGACGGUACCGUAAGAAUAAGCACCGGCUAACUACGUGCCAGCCGCCGCGGUAA
rnacentral:rRNA from 1 species